CUCAGUUCGGAUUGGAGUCUGCAACCCGACUCCAUGAAGCUGGAUUCGCUAGUAAUCGCGCAUCAGCCACGGCGCGGUGAAUACGUUCCCGGGCCUUGUACACACCGCCCGUCAAGCCAUGGAAGCCGGGGGUGCCUGAAGUGCGCUGCCGCAAGGAGCGCCCUAGGGUAAUACCGGUGACUGGGGCUAAGUCGUAACAAGGUACC
rnacentral:rRNA from 1 species